CACGUAGGGUGCGAGCGUUGUCCGGAAUUAUUGGGCGUAAAGAGCUCGUAGGCGGUGUGUCGCGUCGGCCGUGAAAACCUGCAGCUUAACUGUGGGCGUGCGGUCGAUACGGGCAUCACUGGAGUUCGGCAGGGGAGACUGGAAUUCCUGGUGUAGCGGUGGAAUGCGCAGAUAUCAGGAGGAACACCGGUGGCGAAGGCGGGUCUCUGGGCAGUAACUGACACUGAGGAGCGAAAGCGUGGGGAGCGAACAGG
rnacentral:rRNA from 1 species